ACAAUUUCUGAGCCUAUGGUGCACUGGGCACAAACCAUGCAACUAUCUUGCACGAAAACUAAUACUAUCUCCAACUGGACCGAAGCGAGAUUCCAUAUGAUACACUUCAUCUAGUAGUUCCAUCGGGUUUGUCCAAAUUGAUUUUUGAGCAUAUGGUAUGUUCCAUGCAAACUGUGCACCUAUCUUGCAUCAAGAUUAGAACUAUCUCCAAACAGACAGAACCA
rnacentral:lncRNA from 1 species